AUUCCUUGGAUUUAGGAUUUCAUAUUUUGUACACGUGUGUAUUGAGGUUGUAGGGAAACUGCACUUCUUAUUUAUGAAUUGGGAACAAAGGUGCAAUUUACAUAGUAGGGAAGGCAAUUCACAGCAAUGACAAAUAUAAAAACACCUUUUAGUGGCAAAGCUAUCUUUGUUUCCCCCCCAAAGUUCCACUUCUUCGGAUGAACUUUUCACAAGACCAUUACCAUUCACAGAUAUAUUAUCACAAGCUGUCAACUAAUUACUGUAUAUCACCAAAGCUUUAAAAAAAAAAAAAACGCUUGUAUACAUGCAUAGCCAGAUGGAUUUUAUUUUUCAGUUAAAUUGUCCAAUUAUCUAUUGAAAGUUAGUGUCCUGUUUGAUGUUUAUAUUUGCUUUAAGCAACCUGGGUACUCUGAACAAUGAUCCACACUUGACCGUUCUCGUGAAUAACUUUUAUUGUUUUGAAUUGGAAGUUAGCCGUGAAUUCUCUUUAUUUCUUUCAGUGUUUGAAUAGGACACCUUGGGAAACGGUUUAGUGGUAUGCAUCAAGCACCGGCCCAGACUAUUACACCCACCAUGUUAAUUGAAAAUGGAAAAAAAGCUUGGUACUUUCCCUGUAUUUAUGUCAGUUGAUGUUUAUUUAGUUGAUUUUGUUUGAAGAGCUAGAUCCCCCUGGUUCCUCUCAGGGCCCUACAGGCUUAGUUGAGUUCAGUUUUAUUUGGUUUGGUUUUCUGUUGUGGUUCUGGCCUUUUUGUCCAGUGGCAAACAAUAUUCUCCUCUCUCCUGUUUAUCAGCAAUCUCAGCCUUUUGGAUUGUGAAACUAAUAAUGUUUUAUUUUUCGCUGUCAUUAUUUAAUUUUUUGAUGCAGCGGACCUACAUCCUAUAGAGAGGUGUAUGUUUUUUGUAUUGUGUUUGCCUUUAGAAAAACAGUUGACAUGUUUUGUCUUGCGUUUUUGUAAUAAACCUUUCAUGAAAGAAGUGGUCCAUGAUGUCCUGGAAGUAUCAAAAUGAUUUCUUGGGAAAAAAUACUUAAUUUUGGUAAUUCACAGUUGUAAUUUAUAGUCUCCCCACUAGAUGGCUGCAAAUCACUUUAAAUUAUCAAGCAUGAUCUGCAAAAGAAACUAGAAAUGUGUCAAUGUUUUGUUUAGAGUUGUUUAAUCAGAGUUUUUUUUUAUUCAGUUGUGAAUUAAAUUGUUUGAGAAUAGUUAAUAUUAUUUGUCAGGUUUACUUGUUUAAGACAAUUUAAUUGCUGUAUUUGUCUUCUGAUAGUACACUUUACAGGUUUUCUCUAUUGCUUGAACACUUUCUCAGAGCAGUUAACAUGUUGGCCAUAUCUGGAACACUGUUGGCAAAAAUGAAAUUCUAUUUGCAAACUAUACUAUGACUUGAAACAUACAUAAAAUACAUGACACAAAAUCAACUACUUGCAUCAAAAUGUACAACUGUCUCAUCAAUGCACAAUGGCCUAAUAAAAACCAAUUACAACAGUCCAAAUACCCUUACAUGUUGACCCCUCUUACCAUUCUGUUCCGUUUGUUGAUACUUCUAUUACAGAAUGCAUCCCAAAACGCUAGUAAACAUCACAGCUAUAUUAUUUUCCCUAUUUAUUUAUUUUUUUACUGAAUAUGACCAAUGCAGAAAGUCUGUCAAAGGCAGUGAUAUCCAGAACCAUAAGGCUUUAUAAUACCUUGUUCAAAUUCAGUGGUGUUCAAUAUUCAAAGAUUACAAAUAAAAUACAC
ensembl:lncRNA